rnacentral:rRNA from 1 species
AGUGAACGCUGGCGGUAGGCCUAACACAUGCAAGUCGAACGGCAGCACAGUAAGAGCUUGCUCUUACGGGUGGCGAGUGGCGGACGGGUGAGGAAUACAUCGUAAUCUACUUUUUCGUGGGGGAUAACGUAGGGGAACUUACUCUAAUACCGGAUACGACCUACGGGUGAAAGCAGUGGAUCUUCGGACCUUGCGCGAUUGGAUGAGCCGAUGUUGGAUUAGCUAGUGGGCGGGGUAAAGGCCCACCAAGGCGACGAUCCGUAGCUGGUGUGAGAGGAUGGUAAGCGACACUAGAACUGAGACACGGUCCAGACUCCUACGGGAGGCCGCAGUGGGGAACAUUGGACAGUGGGGGCAAGCCUGAUCCAGCCAUACCACGUGGGUGAAGAAGGCCUUCGGGUUGUAAAGCCCUUUUGUUGGGAGAGAAAAGCAGCAGGUUAAUACCCAGCUGUUCCGACGGUACCCAAAGAAUAAGCACCGGCUAACUUCGUG